AGCUUUGCAUAGUGGCAGUAUCAUAGCCAAUGAGGUUUAUCCGAGGCACGAUUAUUGUUACUUAAAAGCUUCUCCCA
rnacentral:snRNA from 1 species